rnacentral:rRNA from 1 species
AUUGAACGCUGGCGGCAUGCUUUACACAUGCAAGUCGAACGGUAACAGGCCGUCGGGUGCUGACGAGUGGCGAACGGGUGAGUAAUGCACCGGAACGUACCCAGUGGUGGGGGGUAACGCAGCGAAAGCUGUGCUAAUACCUCAUGUGAUCUGAGGAUGAACGCGGGGGACCGAGCAGCAAUGUUUGGCCUCGCGCCUUUGUAGCGGCCGAUGUCGGCUUAGCUAGUUGGUGGGGUAAAGGCCUACCAAGGCGACGAUCCGUAGCUGGUCUGAGAGGACGACCAGCCACACUGGGACUGAGACACGGCCCAGACUCCUACGGUAGGCAGCAGUGGGGAAUUUUGGGCAAUGGGCGCAAGCCGGAUCCAGCAAUGCCGCGUGCGGGAAGAAGGCCUUCGGGUUGUAAACUGCUUUUGGCAGGAACGAAACGGUGUCCGCUAAUACCGGGCGCUAAUGACGGUACCGGCAGAAUAAGCACCGGCUAACUACGUG